AGCUGAUGCAGCCUGCCGCGUGUGUGAUGAGGUCUUCGGAUUGUAAGCACUUUAACUUGGGAGGAAGGGCAGUUAACUAAUACUUUGCUGUUUUGACGUUACCGACAGAAUAAGCACCGGCUAACUCUAUGCCAGCAGCCGCGGUAAUA
rnacentral:rRNA from 1 species